rnacentral:rRNA from 1 species
CUACGGGAUGCUCCAGGCGCGAAACCUCUUCAAUGCACGACAGUGUGAAAGGGGAAUCCUACGUGCUCAUGUUAUUCAUGGGCUUUUGUAAAGUGUAAAUAGCUUUACGAAUAAGGGGUGGGAAAGACCGGUGCCAGCAGCCGCGGUAACACCGGCGCCUCGAGUGGCAAUCAUUAUUACUGGGCCUAAAGCAUCCGUAGCCGGAUUAGUAAAUUCUUUGUGAAAUCUCUCAGCUCAACUGAGAGGCGUGCAGGGAACACUGCUUGUCUAGAGACCGGGAGGAGUGUAAAGUAUUUUUUGGGGAGCGGUAAAAUGUUAUAAUCCAAGGAAGGCUGCCAAUGGCGAAGGCAUUACACUAGAACGGAUCUGACGGUGAGGGAUGAAGGCUAGGGGAGCAAAACGGAUUAGAUACCCUUGUAGUC